UAGUUUUAAUACAAUAGCGGUCUACCCACGGUACGGGCAUUUUAAUAAUAGACUUUGAAUAUUGUCGCUGUCUUCGUUGAAAAUUAAAAAAUAAUAUUAAAUUAUAGAAUUUUAGAUUUCAUAUUGAUAAGGCAAUAGAUUUUCCGUUUAUAAAUUGUUUUUAAACAUUUAUAAUCAUAUUUCCUUCCCUCCAAAAGCAAUAUUUGUGCCCAGGAUGAGCGAGUUCGAAAAGUCGAUACAGAUUUCUAAAUUAAUCAUAAUAGAGCUCUUAGUAACAAAUUCAACGAAUUCCGUUUUAAAACUUUUGUCGUGAUACUUUUAGUGGCUCCCUAUUGGAACUUUACUUUUCAUAAGUGUUUUUAAUUUACGUUCAUAUUAUU